UUUAUUUGAUUUCCUUCGGGACUGAUUAUUUUGUGACUGAGUGGCGAACGGGUGAGUAACGCGUGAGUAACCUGCCCUAGAGUGGGGGACAACAGUUGGAAACGACUGCUAAUACCGCAUAAGCCCACGGUGCCGCAUGGUACUGAGGGAAAAGGAUUUAUUCGCUUCAGGAUGGACUCGCGUCCAAUUAGCUAGUUGGUGAGGUAACGGCUCACCAAGUCGACGAUCGGUAGCCGGACUGAGAGGUUGAACGGCCACAUUGGGACUGAGACACGGCCCAAACUCC
rnacentral:rRNA from 1 species